GCGUCCGUUUCGUUUCUGUCCCACCGGGCACUCGUGUCCGGCUGCGACUGUGUUGAGGCGUCGUCCGGCCAAACCCCGGGCGUCCCUUSAAGUGCGAA
rnacentral:misc_RNA from 1 species